UGGUUCAAAAACUUGAUCCCAAGAAUUUAAGACCGGCAAGUGGGAUAGUGCGCUUCGCGAUCGACGUGGCCAAAAAAAAAAAAAAGGGUCGCGCCAGGAGAGCGACUCUCCCAAGAAUAGAAAUCCCCAUCGCCACAAGCAGUCUCACGAGACGGCCAGACGGGAAAGUUCAUCUCCAACCAAGAGCAAAUCCAACUGCCACGGAGAGAUAAACUACACUAAAUCCAAGCUGUACAGGAGGAGAUCACACCUAAUCUAAUCAGGUUUCCUUCCUUCCUAGUAUGCUAAUAUUCCUUCAGGAUAAGCACGGGCAUUAAUAAAAUCACCCCACAGCAGGUGAUGGUAUAGCUGAGCCCAGCCCGUACUCCACUCCACAUGGUCAGGGCAGCUCAGAGCUUCGAUCACGGUGACUCGGAUCACUCCACACGAAGAUCACCGGACACCACGAGUGACCUCGCGGGCGGAGAAUCGCGUCACCGGCGAGGCGGACCGCGUACCUGACAGCGCCGCCGGGCGGGCUCCGGCGGCCGCCGCCGCCGCCGCCGUCGCUUGGCGCACGGUAAGGGCGCCGUGCGGGCGCGGACAGGGACCGACUGCCGCCGCGUCAGCGGGGUGCGCCCGGACAACGGCAAGUGGGGCAAUAAACGAGGCCGGGGAUGGCG
rnacentral:lncRNA from 1 species